GUCUGGAAAGCACCUAUUUAUACCGCCCACUGUUUUGCUUUGAAUCAUAUUAGGUACCCCCUUAUCAGGCCCAUUGCCAAUUUGAAGUGGCAAGUGACAAUUUCUAAUCCAAUGCCGGAAAAAGAGUCACACCGACGCUGGAACUGCUCUACUCCUCGCUCAGGAGUGAAGCUACAAGCACCUUACAGUGCACCGACCCCACGAAAGUGUAACAAUAAUAAUGGCGAUAAGGAAGCUUCCCACUUCACUCAAUUAAAUUGAACAAUUUCGGUAUUAUUGCGCUCGGAUCCAAUCAUCCCCCUUCCGCCCCGCCGGCAGCUGCGAUAAGACCACGACUCCCACUUUGGGAGUACGGCCUGGCCUAUCCGGUGAUGGAUUGACACCUGCCGGCGUCUACCUGUUGGACUCUCCCCUCCCCUCCUCGCUCUUUUGGACUUCCCUCCUCGCGAUGGGGAAAGAACUUCCCGGAAUCUUAUCGCCAGUGGACUUCCCUGGAAGUGGGGCGUCGAGUACCUUCGAGACGA